UCUUAAUACUGCAUUGUAGGUAUUUUGAAAGCGCUGGUGCAAUGGUUUCGGUCGAGUCUAUCUUUUAGCUAAUCCUACUCUUCCUCUUCCUCACAUUUGUGAAUAUUUGCUUUAAUAGUCUUGUGUUGUUCUCUAUGGUUCCCGAUUUCAAGAUUUCAUCCAUGAUCUAGAACAUUCAAUAUGUUUUUGCUGUGAAUUACUAUCUGAUUCCUUUUAUAGGACUGUAUUCGAAUUUGUGGAUUGUGGAUUUGCCUCAGGGAGAAGAACUACGUGAUGAACGUAUGAACGGGUGUUAUUCUUGUUUGCUAGAUUGGAAUUAUGAUUUUCUCUACUUAGGUGUGUCAAAUUCUUCUGGAUGACCUGUUAGCUGAAUUGAAGAUCUUUUCCGAUCUGGAAGUUUGGUUGAGCUCUUUUAAUUUGAUGAUCUGUUCUGUUAUGGUACUGUGGUGUUGAACAUGACCUCUUUUUUUCACGGAACUGUUUUCCUGAUUGUUCAGGCGAGAUCUCGAUUGUGAAUGCUUGCUUUUUGUCGGUGAUUGAAGGAUGAAUUCUGCUUCUUCCUAGAUCCAAAGAAACUGAGAACUCUCUUUAUCCUAGCUUGUUCUGAAACUUCUCCUAUUCUUCAACUAUUGUUCUUAUGUGUAGAGAUUUAGCUACGGUUUUGCUUGUCGAACAUGGCUUUUCUUUUACGGGACUGUUUUUCUGAUUAUUCAGGCGAUCUAGAUUGUGAACGGUUGCUUUCUGUUGGUGAUUGGAGGAUGAAUUCUGCUUUUGCCUAGAUCCGAAGAAACCGAGAACAUAUCCUUGCUUUUUUCCCCCCUAAAACUUCUAUUCUUCGACUGUUCUUAUCAUUAUUAUUGUAGGGGGAUUUAGCUUCGGUUUUGCUUGGUUUGCAGUGUAUUUGGGAGGUUGGAGAUUUGUAGAUUGGAGAUAUUGGAAAGAAUUUUCGGCAAUUUUCGAUAUGGACGACUAGAUAUCUAAUUUCCGUUGUCCAUCUUGAAGCGUGGUUGUUUUGAGUGCGACACAUACAGAGGAUAGAGAUCAAGAACAGUUUUUCUAAACUUUCUUUCCCUGCAUUUUUUUCCCAACCUACUGAGCUAGCAUUGUGAAUUAAAUGUGGAUGUGUUCCUAUGCAGUUUUGUCUGAUCCUGGUCGAUAUGUUUCCUGCACUUGCCUGGUUCAUUUGUUUUAAGUUUUGCUCUUUUUUUUUUUUAAAUUUAAAUAAUUAGCUUUGGUUCUCUUUGUUGUUUCCUUUAUAAUUCUGUCUUUCUUGGAAAUCGGUUUAUGUUUCUCUUUUUUGCCUUAGGAGCCAAUUGAAGGAUAUGGGAUUGCACUUAGGCGAUGUGUCCAAGAUUCUGAAAUUGAUAAUUCCCUUCUAACAUAUGCAUCAAUUUUUUUUAGGAUUAAAUAAUAGUUUGAUUACGGAGUUAUCUUGUUUAUGGCCUGCAAUGCUUUAAAUUGGUUGCAGAAAUCUGGAAUAAUGGAUAGAAGAUAUAUGGCAGGAAGGCUCAAAAUAAUACAGGCUCAUAAUCUGAUUAACUUUCCUUUUUUAACUAUCUUGCGUUAAUGGUCAUGCAAAAUUAAAUUUGAACUUGUUCUCUUGCAGUGUAUCGUUUUGGUCAAGUAACAUUGUACCUGGAGUUUGGACGCACUGGAUCUCUUGUCUCUUGGUUUUUUAUUUUUUUGCUAGUUCAUAUGCAUAAGUAUGCAGAUAUCAAUUGAAUUUCGUUUGUUCAUUUGCAGUGUUGUCUUCCAAUCAUACUUUUGGCAACAGGCUUUCAUGUAUAAUGGUGACUUCUAACUGGCCUUAGUGUUCUCUGUGUCUAGCGUCUUGUUCCUGUGCAUUUCAUUUCUUUGAUGUUCUUCAUAUUGCUUGGGGGAGGAUUGUUCUUUGACUUGUUUUUCCUGUGAAUUUUUAUAGAACUAUUAUUGGAUUUGUGGAUUUUGGAUUUACUUAGCUGCUGAUCAAGAUGCUUCUUUCUGGAUUCGAUAAUCUUGGGAAUGGUUACAGUUUCACACAGUUUCACAGGGAAAAGAACCAGGCGAUGAACAUAUGGACAGGGUGCUAUUCUUGUUUGCUGGAUUGGAAUUGUGAUUCUCUCUCUUCAGGUGUAGCGAAUUAUGUGGAUGAUGUGUGUGUUGGCUUCAUUUAAGAUCUUUCUUGACCUGGAAGUUUGGUUGAGCUUUUCUAAUUUGAUGAUCUGGUUCAGGGAUAGUUGUGUUGUUUGAACAUGGCUUUUCUUUCAUGCAGCUGUUCUGUUGAUUGUUAAGGUGACAUUAUCUGGAUUAUGAAUGCUCGCUUUUUUGUGUUGGGGUUUGGAGGAUGAAUUCUACUUUUGCCCAGAUCUGAAGAAACUGAGAACUCUCUGAAUCCUUGUUUUUUCUGAAAAUUCUCCUAUUCUGUACUGUUCUUAUUCCCGGAGAGAUUUAGAUUUGCUUGUUUUUGCUUGGUUUGCAGUGUAUUUGGGAGAUUGGGAAAUGGGAAUUGUAGAUUGGAGAUACUGGAAAGAAUAUUUUGCAAGACCCGAGGACCAUAUAUCUAAUUCCAUAAAAGCAAUCUGAUUCUCUAUACAUUUUAUUUCCUUGAUCAUUUAACUAAAUAUUAAAGCAUGCAUUGUGAAUUAAAAUGUAGUUAUAUUCUAUGCAGCAUUGUAGCCUGGUUGUUGAGCACGAAGCAUACCGUGAAUGGAAUCUAGUUUCCUAAAACAGAUUUUCGAACUCUUCUUUCCUUUUUGUUCAUUCCAACCUACUGUGCUUGCAGCAUUUGAAUUAAAUGUCGUUGGUUUCCCGUGCAGUGUUGUCCAAUCAUGGGUGUUGAGUGCAUCCUGGUGAAAUGCUUUUGCACUUGCCUGGUUCAUUUGUUUAAUUUUGCUUUUUUUUAAUUUUAAAUUCGCUACUGUGUUGUUUCCUUUGUUAUUCUCUCGUGCUUGGAAAAUCAGUUUUUGUUUCUCUUUUCCUUAGGAACCAAUUGAAGCGUAUGGGAUUGCACCGAGACCGUUCAAGAUUCCGAGAUUGAUAUGUCCUUGUUAUAUUAUUCUUUUUUCUUUCUAUCCCCUAAAUAUUAUAAAAAUAACUUGAUUAUAUAGUUGUUUCACGUUGUUUAUGACCUCCAAUGUUUUUCAGUGGUUGCAGUGAUUUAGAAUUUUGGAAAA